rnacentral:rRNA from 1 species
GACGAACGCUGGCGGCGUGCCUAAUACAUGCAAGUCGAACGCAGUGGGGACGGGUGAGUAACAAGUGGGUAACCUCCCAUCAGAGGGGAUAACACUUGGAAACAGGUGCUAAACCGAUACGGCUGGAUGGAACCGCGUGGCAUAAGCUAGUUGGUGAGGUAACGGCUAACCAAGGCGACGAGGCCUAGCCGACCUGAGAGGUGGAUCGGCCACACUAGGAAUGAGACACGGCCCAGACUCCUACGGGGGGCAGAAGUAGUGAAUCUUGGGCAAUGGACGCAAGUCGGACCGAGCAACGCCGCGUGAGGGAAGAAGGUGUUCGGAUCGUAAAACUCUUUUGUUAGAGAAGCGGUAUCUAACCAGAAAGCCACGGCUAACUACGUGCCAGCGGCCGCGGUAAUAC